rnacentral:rRNA from 1 species
UACGUAGGGUGCAAGCGUUGUCCGGAAUUAUUGGGCGUAAAGAGCUCGUAGGCGGUCUGUUGCGUCGGCUGUGAAAACCCGGGGCUCAACUCCGGGCCUGCAGCCGAUACGGGCAGACUAGAGUUCGGCAGGGGAGACUGGAAUUCCUGGUGUAGCGGUGAAAUGCGCAGAUAUCAGGAGGAACACCGGUGGCGAAGGCGGGUCUCUGGGCCGAUACUGACACUGAGGAGCGAAAGCGUGGGGAGCGAACAGG